AAGUCGUAGGUUUCCGUAGGUGAACCCUUCCGCAGGAUCAUUAACACGUAUCCAACGCUAAAACAACCCGUGAACUUUCAGCUUGCUCCUGUAGCCCGUGAAAACAGCAAUCCCUGGUAAAUCAUUGUUGAGCUUUUGAGUCAGGGACCUCCAGUCACGAUCGCUGUAGGCCCACACGGCCGUGCCCCUUUACGACAACUACUGAAUUCGCCGCGCGGCACCAAAAACCGAACAACUGUUAACAAUGGAUAUCUUGGUUCUC
rnacentral:misc_RNA from 1 species